UGGAAAAAAUGCCACAAGAACAUAUUAGAAACACUAAAACCAUGAUUUUCAUUGGAGUGGGUCUUCAACAUCUGUCUCUCGCAUGACAAUUACAGAAAUUAGUCAGAUCCAAGUAAACUGUCCCUACAGGACUUUAUUUAUGUUAUUAUCGUUUUGUUCCUUGUUAGGACAGUUUGGCUGAUUUAGCCCAGAUCACAUAUGUGCACUAGCUGGCCCCGGUUUCUAGAAGCAGUUGUGUGCAGCCAGUUAUUCUAUGUGCUGUGAGUGUCUGUGUGUGCAUCAGAGGCAACGGGGCAGCUCUAACAAUAACACUGAUUGAGAAAAAAAGAGAAGAAGAAAACUCUGCCUCCGCACCCAAUCUACCUCCGCAGUCCUGCAAGCUCUUCUUCUGAGGCUCACAUAGAAAAGAGAAGAAAGACAGGAAAAAGGAAAGAAGCAGAAAGAGCAUGAGAUACAUGAAAGAGAGAUGCUGAGCUGCAAACCAAUACAGCAGUGCAGAAGACACAUUCCUGGAUUGGCAGACAAAAAGAGGCUAUUAUCUUUUGUUUAUGACAUUGUCUGGUACCAGCCCUGCCAUCACCAUGGCGACGUGCUUUGUCUGCACCCAUCGGCAUGCCAGUAUGGCCACUGCAUGCAACUUUGGCAUCAAGCCUGAGUCCACUUUCAGAAAGCAGAGCAGCCUUCAUUGACUUCACCGCCUGGCUGGCUCACUGUGUGGCGCUGGUUGCUAUGGAAGCUAAUUUACAGGCAGAGAGCUCACUUUGUGUCCAUAAUACCGGAGCAGUCAGGCAAAUCAUCCACGCACAAUGCACAAGCCUUUACGCAAACACACGCGUGCAACCUGGCAACAGCACCAAAAAUGGGCUAUGGCUAAUGAGAGGAGUUCAAAGCAGAUGUGGAGGCUUUGCAUGAAAAAUCCUGCGACUUUGGAAACUAUUUUUAGGAGAUUGACAGCACUUCUGAGGCGACACCACUGCUUCCUUUGUAUCUCAUGCGUCUGUGGCUGAUGGAGUUCAAUUCUGUUGGACUGAAGGUUAAUCUUUGGCACUCACAUGAUUUAGAGACCCAUCUUCUUUAUUUUUAGAGCAAAAAAGUUGACAUUUAAAGUUUUCCUGGGUUCCCUCACUUCAAAACAGCACAAUUACAUCAGUGGAAUCAUUAAAAAAAAGAGAAAAACAGACUUCAUCAGCUCACACUUUCCUGUUCCAAGCGUGACUAUGAUCAAGAAAGUGUGAAAAUCUCUGUAUCAUCUUUUUCAACAUAUUUCCCUCUUGGUUUAUUUCUCUUCUCGCUUUUUCUGCAGCUGCAUUAUGUAACCGCAGUAGCUGUUUGAAGUCAAAAAAGGGAGGAAGGUAAAAAACUUUUCAAAGUCUUGCUUUUGCAGCUUUAGGAGAUGGUGGCGGUGGGUGCUGCCUGAAUAAUUCCUCCAGAUCGUCUGGUCCUAAAUGGUGUUGCUUCAACCUCACUUUGAAAAAUGAGAAGCAGAUUUCACAGACUAAUAAUUCUGCAACCAUUUAACUUGAAAAAUUCAAAAAGUUCUCACGAUUUUUCCUUUUUUAUGAUUUGUUUACAGUCCUGGUAAUGAAUCCCAGUUAUUAAACUGUAAAUCAAAAAACUCAAAGAUGUUCUAGAAAGUUUUCUUCAAACUUGACAAAGUUUUUCAUGAUAUCUUUCUUUAAUUACUUCCUUCGUCCUCAUUUGUUGUUGCUUUAUUCCUUUAUCUCUUAGCCCAUUUUCACUCCAUCUGAUUGUUUUUCAUAUAUUCUACUUCUAAAUUCUCUGUGUCUGAUUGGCUUUUUUCCUUCUUCUUUCUUUGUUUCCUUUUCGGCUUAAAAAGUGGCUCCACCAGCUACAUAUUAUAUUCUAUGCAUGUCGAUCCAUCAUCUGCAGCGGAAUCUAUGUUGUUUGCGGGAACGAGCCCUACAGAUCACAGAGGAUUCCUUAAAAUGUGUUUUCUGUUUCCAUGAAUCCUGCAUGCAUGAGCUCUCCUGCAGCCUCUGAUGCUGACUGAAGGCCUUGCAUUUUCCCUGCAUUCCUGGAGCUGAAUAAAAAAAAAAAAAAAUGGAGCCAUUGUCAGCCUCACUCUUGUUCCUUCCUCGUUGGAGCAGAUGUGCAACUCUUCGCUGUAUUAGUGCGGAAUGUGUGCGAAAGUGUCAACGACUGUUCUUUUGCAAGCUCUGUCUAUUUGUCUCUAAUAAGACGCGUGCGAUCAAACACUGGCAAGCGAUAAAAAAUGGCCUCCCUCCCUGUCACCCCUCUUCUCCUUCUGAACGGCAGUGGCAGUGUUUUGUUGCAGGGAUCCCGGGGUGAGAUGAUGGAGUGCAGCGGCGGAGGAAGAGGAUGAGGGACGUGAAUGACAGCUGAUGAACUGCAUCGUGCUGGACGCCAGCCAGAUCCUUUUAAUGAGCAAAGUGCUGCACCCAAAACCUCACACCUAAUUACACACACACACGAACCUUAUUUUUGCAUUCCCUGCUCUGCAGCGUCCCGCCAUGCUGCACUAAGUACUCCCUCCAGAUCAAACAAGAAGCUCAGGUAACCUCUGGCUCUUCCCCUCUUCCACCUCCUCGCCGGAUGCUGCUUCCUCUCACAGAGGGGAUCACAUCAGCCCACACUCUGCUGACAUCGCCCCAGCUUGCCCGAUAAAAACAUUACCUGUAAACUGCAUUAGCCCUAAGUGAGAGGCGGUCAAGCACGCGGAAAUGUAUGCGUGCUCACGGACAGUUGUGCGUGUGACAAACAACUGGGCGUAAUCAGAUCAAGGUUAGGAUGCGGUUCGCUGGAACGACCUGUGCCCGUCCUGUCACGACGAAUUCAUGCUGAGCUCCUGGAAAAAAACCUGUUUGUCUUGUUUAUUUGUGUGUUAUGCAACUUUGUUUGUAACCACUCCAAAAAACUGACACAGAAACUGUAUAACCCGCUUUGGGUGUGAGGUCAAGUUGCAUUGGAUAAAUAAGAAAAAGUUUCUUUAUGACCUUAAAUGCUGAACGCAG